AACUUUCUUAGGUCGGCCUCUCCCUCUCGCCAUAGCACCCUCAGCGCAGGUUAACCUACAUACGCAGAGGUAGCAGAGAAGAAGAAGAUGAAGCAGGGAAAGUUUCUCUCUAGAAUUUUUUUAAUUUUGAGUUACUUUUCUCUCUACGUCCCUUUGUAGUAACUCAAACUUUUAGAUGAGGUGCUCCAACAAUUCAACACAUAAAAUCAAAUAAAAUAAUUAAAAGAUAAAUCAAGAGUCCAUGGAGACACCUCUAGAUUCGUAACUUUGAAAUUUCUACCAUAUUAAUGCUACUGGAAUCUGGUAAAGAUCAUCUCUUUGAGGUAAAAAAAAUAACAAAUUUUAUGGGUACAUAAAGAAACCAUUGAAAGCUGAAAUUUCCAAUUAAAGAGUAAAUAAUAAAAACUCAAUAUAUACAGAGUAAUGUUAAUAUAUACUCACUUUUUGAUAUACGAUCAUAAACGGCAGCAGACCAAACAACGCUAAUUUUCGAAGGAAGGAAAUUGAGGUUUCGGAUAGAAGGAAUUGUGAUGUGAAAAAGAAAGAAACAAAAGGAAAGAGAAGCGAAAAAGGAAAGGUGAAAUGCGGAGGGAAAAAGAGAAAAAGUGGACACAGUAUGCGACAUUAUAGGCUGACAGUUUCCAUAUUUAUAUGUUAUUUUUAGUGG
rnacentral:lncRNA from 1 species